GACGAACGCUGGCGGCGUGCUUAACACAUGCAAGUCGAACGGAAAGGCCCUGCUUGCAGGGUGCUCGAGUGGCGAACGGGUGAGUAACACGUGGGUGAUCUGCCCCUUACUUUGGGAUAAGCCUGGGAAACUGGGUCUAAUACUGGAUAGGACCAUGCUGUAGGUGGUGUGGUGGAAAGAUUAGUUUCGGUAAGGGAUGAGCUCGCGGCCUAUCAGCUUGUUGGUGGGGUAAUGGCCUACCAAGGCGUCGACGGGUAGCCGGCCUGAGAGGGUGGACGGCCACAUUGGGACUGAGAGACGGCCCAGACUCCUACGGGAGGCAGCAGUGGGGAAUAGUGCACAAUGGGCGCAAGCCUGAUGCAGCGACGCCGCGUGGGGGAUGACGGCCUUCGGGUUGUAAACUCCUUUCAGCCAUGACGAAGCCCUUGUGGUGACGGUAGUGGUAGAAGAAGCACCGGCUAACUACGUG
rnacentral:rRNA from 1 species